UGGGGAAUAUUGGACAAUGGGCGCAAGCCUGAUCCAGCCAUGCCGCGUGAGUGAAGAAGGCCCUCGGGUUGUAAAGCUCUUUUGUCCGGAAAGAAAAGCUUUCGGUUAAUACCCGGAAGUACUGACGGUACCGGAAGAAUAAGCACCGGCUAACUUCGUGCCAGCAGCCGCGGUAAUACGAAGGGUGCAAGCGUUACUCGGAAUUACUGGGCGUAAAGCGUGCGUAGGUGGUUUGUUAAGUCUGAUGUGAAAGCCCUGGGCUCAACCUGGGAAUUGCAUUGGAUACUGGCAGGCUAGAGUGCGGUAGAGGAUGGCGGAAUUCCCGGUGUAGCAGUGAAAUGCGUAGAGAUCGGGAGGAACAUCUGUGGCGAAGGCGGCCAUCUGGACCAGCACUGACACUGAGGCACGAAAGCGUGGGGAGCAAACA
rnacentral:rRNA from 1 species